UACGUAGGGUGCGAGCGUUAAUCGGAAUUACUGGGCGUAAAGCGUGCGCAGGCGGUUUUUGUAAGCCAGAUGUGAAAUCCCCCGGGCUUAACCUGGGAAUGGCAUUUGGGACUGCAAGGCUCGAGUGCGGCAGAGGAGACUGGAAUUCCUGGUGUAGCAGUGAAAUGCGUAGAUAUCAGGAGGAACACCGAUGGCGAAGGCAGGUCUCUGGGC
rnacentral:rRNA from 1 species